rnacentral:lncRNA from 1 species
UGGGCCCCACUAGCCUAUUGGGCACUCUGUGCGCUAUAAAUAUUGCCACCAUAAAAAUGUCUGUCACCCGAUGACUUUGGGUAGGGAGCACUAGCCAUCGAGUAAGAUCUAGAAUUUUCCCCACUUUUUUGGACCACUUUUCACCAUCUCGGCCACUCUGUUGUUUCCUACCACCCUGAUUAAAAAAUCUAAAAUUCUUGCUCUGCUUUUCUCCUAUCUCUGACUGCUUCUUCUUCUCUUCCUCAACCUGCUGCAUGUACACAAC